rnacentral:misc_RNA from 1 species
AUCAUAAUAAGUAUCGAAGAGGCCUGGAUUUUGAUUGAUAAAAGUUUUAACUCUGAAAUUGAGGCGUAACCUCUCGCGCCUUUUCUCGAGGUAUCGGAGCGGUAAAACUUGACCGGGUUCGUUUAGAACCUCCUUGACGACUCGUGCGCAGACUUUGUACCGCUUAUCUUUCUCUAUAGCAAAAUCUAGUUUUUGGUCCCUGCGCCACACCACUUUGAGGCUCGAAAUGGAUUUGAUUUGGAUGUUGAUUUUAGGGUUUACAAGAGAAUUAUGAAAAUGUGUAUGGAUGGA